rnacentral:rRNA from 1 species
AAUAUUGGACAAUGGGGGCAACCCUGAUCCAGCCAUGCCGCGUGUGUGAAGAAGGUCUUCGGAUUGUAAAUCACUUUAAGUUGGGAGGAAGGGCUUUAGGUUAAUACCCUGAAGUUUUCACUUUACCAACCGAAUACGCCCCGGCAAACCGUGGCCAGCAGCCGCGGUAAUACAGAGGGUGCAAGCGUUAAUCGGAAUUACUGGGCGUAAAUCGCGCGUAGGUGGUUCAGUAAGAUGGGUGUGAAAUCCCCGGGCUUAACCUGGGAACUGCUUUCAUAACUGCUGAGCUAGAGUACGGUAGAGGGUAGUGGAAUUUCCUGUGUAGCGGUGAAAUGCGUAGAUAUAGGAAGGAACACCAGUGGCGAAGGCGACUACCUGGACUGAUACUGACACUGAGGUGCGAAAGCGUGGGGAGCAAAC